CUCUUGAGAGCGGCGGACGGGUGAGUAAUGCCUAGGAAUCUGCCUGGUAGUGGGGGAUAACGCUCGGAAACGGACGCUAAUACCGCAUACGUCCUACGGGAGAAAGCAGGGGACCUUCGGGCCUUGCGCUACCAGAUGAGCCUAGGUCGGAUUAGCUAGUUGGUGAGGUAAUGGCUCACCAAGGCGACGAUCCGUAACUGGUCUGAGAGGAUGAUCAGUCACACUGGAACUGAGACACGGUCCAGACUCCUACGGGAGGCAGCAGUGGGGAAUAUUGGACAAUGGGCGAAAGCCUGAUCCAGCCAUGCCGCGUGUGUGAAGAAGGUCUUCGGAUUGUAAAGCACUUUAAGUUGGGAGGAAGGGCAGUAAAUUAAUACUUUGCUGUUUUGACGUUACCGACAGAAUAAGCACCGGCUAACUCUGUGCCAGCAGCCGCGGUAAUACAGAGGGUGCAAGCGUUAAUCGGAAUUACUGGGCGUAAAGCGCGCGUAGGUGGUUCGUUAAGUUGGAUGUGAAAUCCCCGGGCUCAACCUGGGA
rnacentral:rRNA from 1 species